rnacentral:rRNA from 1 species
AGAGUUUGAUCCUGGCUCAGGAUGAACGCUAGCGGCAGGCCUAAUACAUGCAAGUCGAACGGUGUCUUCGGACAUAGUGGCGCACGGGUGCGUAACACGUAUGCAACCUACCUUACAUUGGGGGAUAGCCUUUCGAAAGGGAGAUUAAUACCGCAUAAGACAGUAGUCUGGCAUCAGACAGCUGUUAAAGAUUUAUCGAUGUAAGCUGGGCAUGCGACCAAUUAGUUAGUUGGCGAGGUAAUGGCUCACCAAGACUAUGAUUGGUAGGGGAACUGAGAGGUCAAUCCCCCACACUGGCACUGAGAUACGGGCCAGACUCCUACGGGAGGCAGCAGUAGGGAAUAUUGGGCAAUGGACGCAAGUCUGACCCAGCCAUGCCGCGUGCAGGAAGAAGGCGUUAUGCGUUGUAAACUGCUUUUAUACAGGAAGAAACGACUCUUGCGAGAGGCAUUGACGGUACUGUAUGAAUAAGCACCGGCUAACUCCGUGCCAGCAGCCGCGGUAAUACGGAGGGUGCAAGCGUUGUCCGGAUUUAUUGGGUUUAAAGGGUGCGCAGGUGGUUUAUUAAGUCAGUGGUGAAAGACGGUCGCUCAACGAUUGCAGUGCCAUUGAAACUGGUAGACUUGAGUAAAGUAGAGGUGGGCGGAAUUGAUAGUGUAGCGGUGAAAUGCAUAGAUAUUAUCAAGAACUCCAAUUGCGUAGGCAGCUCACUUGGCUUUUACUGACACUCAUGCACGAAAGUGUGGGUAUCAAACAGGAUUAGAUACCCUGGUAGUCCACACUGUAAACGAUGAUAACUAGGUGUCGGCCGAAUCUGGUCGGUGCCACAGCGAAAGCGUUAAGUUAUCCACCUGGGGAGUACGCCGGCAACGGUGAAACUCAAAGGAAUUGACGGGG